AUUGAACGCUGGCGGCAGGCCUAACACAUGCAAGUCGAACGGAAGCACCGUGCCUGCUUGUGGUUUCCGCUGCGGACUGGUGGGCGUUGCAUGGGAAUAUCCCUGGCUGUGUUUUCUUACGUCCUAACGCAGGGGCUCCUACUGCAUUAGUCCAGAUGGCGAACGUGGGUGAUCUUGGGAACUCCCGCUCUUGUGUGAGCCUAGGUGGGGGUUGCUAGUUGGUGGGGUAACGGCCUACCGAGCCGCCGAUCCGUAGCUGGUCUGAGAGGAUGAUCAGCCACACUGGAACUGAGACACGGUCCAGACUCCUACGGGAGGCAGCAGUGGGGAAUAUUGGACAAUAGGCGAAAGCCUGAUCCAGCCAUACCGCGUGUGUGAAGAAGGCCUUCGGAUUGGAAAGCCCUUUUAUUGGGUAGGAAGAGCAGUAGGUUAAUACCCAGCUGUUGUGACGGUACCAAGAGAAUAAGCACCGGCUAACUUCGUG
rnacentral:rRNA from 1 species